CAGCCUGUUCCACGAUGUCGAAAGAACACGUUCGCACAACUUUUACACGACAAACAGCUGAUUUCCGUUCCACUAAAAUCCAUCAGAACGAAAAUUUGCACGAAAAUCAAAGCGAACGAAAACGUAAGCGUUUCAGUGUAAUUUUGCGUUCCACUAUCUUUUUUCUUUCGUACGCAUGCGAACACAAAUGUCAAAAUCAGUCACUUGUGUGUUUGCUGUCGAAUGAUAAAAAUUAAGGAAAAUUGUUUUAACAUAAACAUUCCUUGAUUGAAAAUGGAAAGAAAAAUCACGAAAAAACUACACAGCUGCGGGCACUAGUUGAGUAUAUGGGGGAGAAUCCUAAGUUCGCCAGAGGAGUGCCAAUUUUCGGAAGCAGCAGGCAAUCCCAUGAAGACCACUGGAAGACACAAACCUAGAAAAAAUCAUUUUUUUAUUAUUUCAAAAAUGUAAAAAUACAAUCAUACUUACUGGUUGUUAGGUACUUCAAAUAAAUUCGAAGCAUCUCUUAAA